rfam:Mycobacterium angelicum strain DSM 45057 NODE_3_length_265848_cov_19.6977_ID_26329, whole genome shotgun sequence.
GGCGGUCCUCGGUAGUGGCUGCCGGGCUCUCCGGAUCUGGGGUAAGGUCGGCCGCUUCGAUCGAUGGCCGUA